rnacentral:rRNA from 1 species
GUGUCAGCAGCCGCGGUAAGACAGAGGGUGCAAACGUUGUUCGGAUUUACUGGGCGUAAAGCGCGUGUAGGCGGCUUUGCAAGUCGGAUGUGAAAGCCCACGGCUCAACCGUGGAAGUGCAUCCGAAACGGCAUGGCUGGAGUCCCGGAGAGGAAGGUGGAAUGCUUGGUGUAGAGGUGAAAUUCGUAGAUAUCAAGCAGAACACCUGCGGCGAAGGCGGCCUUCUGGACGGUGACUGACGCUGAGACGCGAAAGCGUGGGGAGCAAACAGGAUUAGAUACCCCUGUAGUCC